CAUCACGAUUAUUUCUUCUCUUCUUUAUUUUCCUUCCUGAAAAUCACAUAUUGAAUGUUGUGUUUGUUGCUACAAAGAUAUGUGUAUACAGGGCCUGAUUCCAACACUUUGAUUCUUUUCAUGAACUAAUUUGUGCAUAUAUUAGAUGAAACACUAUAAUUAGUACUCUUUGGUGUAUUCAUGAAAUGAUUUUUACAAGGUCUUUUGGAAUUAGUAACAUAUUUUCUUUUAUAUUUAAAUAAAAUUUUGAUCAUUAUCAUAUUUAUCCAUAUUGGAUGGAAAGUGAUACUUGAAUAGUUUGGACACUUGAUAAUGACUAUUAUAUCCAUAUGUGAAUGUUUCAAAAUAGUGUGAAUGGUUUCUAAGUAAGCUUUCAUGUGCGAAAUUGCAAAAGUUAUGAAUAAUUUCCAAUGAAACAUUCAAAUCCAGGUUGGGUCUUGCAAGACAUGUACGUCGUACUUAUGCCAUGGUUCAUGGUUCACUUGUACCAAGUAAGAUGAAAUUCUUGCCUUUAUAUAGAGAUCAUGUUAUGUGAUAGUCUUUUACAUAUGAUUCAUAACCAUUUUUCCCUUGUUAUAUCUUUCCUUGGAUUCCCUUCAAAAUUAGGAACAAAUACUUGAGAAAUGUUUUGACAUUGAUAUUGACUUGGGAAGCGGCACUAGAAGAAUGUUGCCUUGCAUUAUUUUGAAACUGUUGACUUGUGAUUAAUGUGUUUAACGUUAUAUAGAAAAAUAAAACUUUGAUAUGUUUUUCCGUAACUAUUAAAUCUAUAAAACUAUUUUGAUGUCGAAAACCUUUUAGGGGUUUCACUUUGGAUUUGAAUUGUUGAGUAUUUUUAAUACCCUUAAGAGUUGAUCCUAGUAAUUCUUACUAGGUUUUCCAAGUCAAACCUAUAUUUUUUUUUUUUGACAUAUAUUGAAAUUGGAAAAUUUUAGUUGAAUAUCAAAGAUCGAGCUAGCUUUUGGAUAUUCGUAAAAUGUUGUAAUUUAUGACUAAAAUAAAUGUAAGGAUGUUUACUUUACAUUUAUCUUUGAUUAUUUUGUUACACCUACAUAUGCCUAGAACGUACACCCCAAUACUAUCAUCUUUAUAAGAUUUGAUGUAUUAUUUUGAUUUUAUACUUUGGUCAUGCAUUAUUGAAAUUAGUAAGAAAAGCAAAGGAUUUUUAGAAUCGUUCAUGACGCAUCAUUUUUCUUUUAGUUGAUGUUAGAAAUUAUGGUUUAUUUUUUCUAUCAAAUGGCAAAUUAGUUUACAUACCAUAUAUCAAAACGAAUUCAUUUUACAACAUAAUGACGGUAGAACUCCUAUUUUACCAUUCAACCAAAGUCCUUUUGAUAGAGUUUGAAUUUCUAACAAUCGUAAAGUAGUUUGGAAGAUGAUGCUGACCUUGUGUGAUAUGUCAAUUUAAGGGCACAUGCUUUUGCAAUUUAGGGGCCAUAUUGUUCAAUUACAUUCUUAGAUAAUGGACAAAAUUGUCACUCUUUAUAUUCUUUAUGUUAAAGAAGACUUGUAUUAAUACAAACAUUUCAAAUUAGAAAGUAAACCUUCAUAUANNNNNNNNNNNNNNNNNNNNNNNNNNNNNNNNNNNNNNNNNNNNNNNNNNNNNNNNNNNNNNNNNNNNNNNNNNNNNNNAGAGGUAGAUGAAAUUCGAUCUCUUGAGGAUGUUCAUAUAUCCCAUAUGAAUUGGCCACGGGUAAUUUAAGUAUUUAUUACGAUCUUCCGUUAAAUAUGUGUUAUAACGUUAAACUUCAUCGAAAUUGAAGUAAAAUUAGCAAGAGUAUGAAAUCUUUUUGCAUUGCCCAUAACUUAAACAGUUAGUUCCAAUUGAUUCAGGAUUAAAGUUAGGCAAUUAAUAAUUUAAUUAAUCCAUAGUUCCAAUUUAAUUAAGAUUAAAAUUAAUUUGGCAAUCAAUAUUUUAUUCCCUAAAUAUUAUUUAGAACAAAACAUAGAUAUUGGCAUGCAUGACACUGAUGUAACUCCUUUUCAGAUUUUCUCUUCCCAAAAGUUUUGGCAUUGCAUGUGUGUGUGGAGAAAUGCAAAUUUGAAGACAUCCAUACAUAUAAACCAAAUAAUACAAAAUAAAAGGGAAUUUAUGCUUUACUAUUUGUCUUUCUCUUUGGCUUCUUUCAUUGACUUUUUUAUUCGAUGUUUGUUAUUUAAUCAUGAUCUUUUUCAAAAAAGAAACUAAACUUUAUGAUACAAUGAUUUAGGACAAAAAUGUUAUAAAUACAUAAGUUUAUUACGUUGUAUUUAUAUUCCACGAUGUGUUGGUAUCAAUCAACUAUCUUACAGAUUAUAGUUUUUUUUUACAAUUCUAACGAUGGUUGAAAAUGCCAAUCAGUAAUUAUUAUUAUAUAUUUUCAUAACUAAAAUAAUUCAUCAUACUCCAACUCACAUCACUCGGUUGAUCUUUGUAAGAUCAUCUAACAAGGUCAACUACUCUUAUACAUGAAACUAAUAGCAAAUUCUACUGUGCACCCGGGGAGAGAGAGAGAGAGAGAGAGAGAGAGAGAGAGAGAGAGAGAGAGAGAGAGAGAGAGAGAGAGNNNNNNNNNNNNNNNNNNNNNNNNNNNNNNNNNNNNNNNNNNNNNNNNNNNNNNNNNNNNGAGAGAGAGAGAGAGAGAGAGAGAGAGAGAUGGCAUUAUGGUGAUUUUACAUAGCAAGAAAGGGUAGCUUGGUAAAAACACAUUUCGCUAUUUCUAGUUUAUGGAAUCAACACAUAGGGAUAGGGUAGCUUCCUCCUCAAUUAUUCUGAGCAUCUGGUGGACUGCACCUGCUAUCUCGUCUGCUGAAUUUAGCCUGCAUCCUUCUUCCACCUGCAUAUGUUUUCCCCAUUUUUCAUGAUUAAUUGAAAUAUAUAUAUAUAUAUUAUUUAUGCUCAAUGUUUCCUUAAUUUUAAUUACAAGACAAACAAACUAAACUAGGAAACAUCAACGUUUUUGGAAAAAACAUCCUUUUCUACCUAUCAUUUCCAAAACAUUAACGGAAUUAGGUCAUACCUGGUGGAAUUCCCAAAAAUACCCUCCCCAUUGUACGUUUUAAUAAUUUAUUUUUUCCCUAGAAAACCCAAACCCAAAACCAUGCACUCAAAAUUAAACACAUCGAACUUUGAACUUUUGGGUUUAUUACGGACUCUCUUUGUUAUUUCGUUUUCCUUGCCAUGAGAAAUUUUUUGUUUUCCAAGAAAAAGAAAUUUGUGUGUAAUGAUAAAAAUAGCAAGUACUGGGAGCAUCUCUAAAGCUGGUUUUUUGCAUUGUGAAGUCAUCCAAUGUAAUGUCAUUUUCAUCUUCACACUUUUGCAUGAACACUAUAUACAUGAACAAGUAUUUGUUUUUGUGUAUAAUAAUGCAGAUGGAUGAAAAACAACGGUUGGGAUGCAAUGCAGGGUUUAUCAUCCAAGUAUUAUGAAGAGCACAUGCUAUCUAUCUAUCUUACGUACCUUAACACUGAUGGAGUAGAGAACCAAAGGGUC
rnacentral:lncRNA from 1 species